rnacentral:rRNA from 1 species
GUAGGUGGCAAGCGUUGUCCGGAAUUAUUGGGCGUAAAGCGCGCGCAGGCGGUUCUUUAAGUCUGAUGUGAAAGCCCACGGCUCAACCGUGGAGGGUCAUUGGAAACUGGAGAACUUGAGUACAGAAGAGGAAAGCGGAAUUCCACGUGUAGCGGUGAAAUGCGUAGAGAUGUGGAGGAACACCAGUGGCGAAGGCGGCUUUCUGGUCUGUAACUGACGCUGAGGCGCGAAAGCGUGGGGAGCAAACAGGAUUAGAUACCCUGGUAGUCCACGCCGUAAACGAUGAGUGCUAAGUGUUAGGGGGUUUCCGCCCCCCUUAGUGCUGCAGCUAACGCAUUAAGCACUCCGCCCCGGGGAGUACGGCCGCAAGGCUG